GACGAACGCUGGCGGCGUGCUUAACACAUGCAAGUCGAACGGAAAGGCCCUGCUUUUGUGGGGUGCUCGAGUGGCGAACGGGUGAGUAACACGUGAGUAACCUGCCCUUGACUUUGGGAUAACUCCAGGAAACUGGGGCUAAUACCGGAUAGGAGCUCCUGCUGCAUGGUGGGGGUUGGAAAGUUUCGGCGGUUGGGGAUGGACGCGCGGCUUGUCAGCUUGUUGGUGGGGUAGUGGCUUACCAAGGCUUUGACGGGUAGCCGGCCUGAGAGGGUGACCGGCCACAUUGGGACUGAGAUACGGCCCAGACUCCUACGGGAGGCAGCAGUGGGGAAUAUUGCACAAUGGGCGGAAGCCUGAUGCAGCAACGCCGCGUGCGGGAUGACGGCCUUCGGGUUGUAAACCGCUUUCGCCUGUGACGAAGCGUGAGUGACGGUAAUGGGUAAAGAAGCACCGGCUAACUACGUG
rnacentral:rRNA from 1 species